GUGAAGUCAAAACAGAAGACACUUAGCUCUCAUGUCUCUCAGGCCAGGCUUUGGAUAAGCGAAUUUUCUCUGCCUGUUUUUCUUCCUCAGCUACAAAUGGAGUUAAAGGUGAUUGGCAAGGACUAAAACUGUAAGUUUUAGAUGCUUGAGUCAUGGCAGGUGGGUCUUACCCGCUGCUAAAUAAAGCCACACACAGCUUCUUAAACGCCCAUCUCCGCAGAAGCCUUGUACAGCAGAAAAAGGACUUGAAAGCCGCUCUUCCACCUUAUAACUGGGAAGAUUGCAGCUGCAGAUCUCGUUGGCUGGCUCAGACGCUGCUGCACACGCAGCAAUCUGUCAGCUGGGCCACAACCCCGCCGAGGAAGAGAUGCGCUGAUUUCACCUGACAUUGGCACACGAAUCGGAUUAAAAUAUCAAAGAAAGGAUCUAGUGGUGUAGAUGUUUAUGUAGACCCGUUUGCAUGACUUCACAGAUGUUGCUCAAAUAGAUGUUUUUUUCUGACCACUGUAAGAAAAUCUUGAUUGUGGAGGAGGAGUACUACCCAUGGCGUAACAGCGGUGUGUGGGAUGAGGUGUUGUGUAACCAAUGUGCUGGUGAUCCCCAGCUCAUGUUUUGCAAACCAUCCAUCUGGCCACGGAGCUACUCUGGCCGCUGAUCUCACAUCACCAGCAACCACUGAGUCUCCUUUCUCACCUGCAGCUGGAUCUAGCUGAAGACAAAGAGGGCAUGAAAAUGAUCUGGGUGACUCCUUCUGCGGAGGCUUUCUUCUGGGCUGUGUUGGGCCACAGAAUACUGUCUGGCCCCUGGAGAAACAAAAAUUGAAAUGAAAGGUUAUAAUGAGAAUCUGUAAUGCUGCAAAACUGCGGGAGGACAAAGACACGUUCUUGAAGACCUGUCAGAAAAGCUAAUAAAACUAAGAGCUGUUCUGGUGAGUCA
rnacentral:lncRNA from 1 species